GACGAACGCUGGCGGCGUGCCUAAUACAUGCAAGUUGAGCGAUGAAGAUUGGUGCUUGCACCAAUUUGAAGAGCAGCGCACGGGUGAGUAACGCGUGGGGAAUCUGCCUUUGAGCGGGGGACAACAUUUGGAAACGAAUGCUAAUACCGCAUAACAACUUUAAACAUAAGUUUUAAGUUUGAAAGAUGCAAUUGCAUCACUCAAAGAUGAUCCCGCGUUGUAUUAGCUAGUUGGUGAGGUAAAGGCUCACCAAGGCGAUGAUACAUAGCCGACCUGAGAGGGUGAUCGGCCACAUUGGGACUGAGACACGGCCCAAACUCCUACGGGAGGCAGCAGUAGGGAAGCUUCGGCAAUGGACGAAAGGCUGACCGAGCAACGCCGCGUGAGUGAAGAAGGGUGUCGGAUCGUAAAACUCGGUUGGUAGAGAAGAACGUUGGUGAGAGUGGAAAGCUCAUCAAGUGACGGUAACUACACAGAAAGGGACGGCUAACUACGUG
rnacentral:rRNA from 1 species